UCGUCUCGUCUUCCUUGUACUAGUAAAAGCCAACGGCGUGUCAUCGUGCCCAUUUCUUUUCUCAAUAAUGGAGUUGCCCUAUUUCUGUUUCUGUCUCUGUCUCGUGAUAACCUCUGCAUUAUGUUCCCUCGUUUCAGCAGGGAAAAACCGUUUUCUUUUUUGCACAAGCAAACAUUCGUUGCAGGUUAACAGAAGCGAUGAUGCUGCC
rnacentral:lncRNA from 1 species